rnacentral:lncRNA from 1 species
AUCAAGCCAGAGAGAAGGAAAUCAGACAGCUUUUUAGGGACUUUGGAAGAAGAUGAACUAAAACCCUGUUUUUGGAAGCGAUUGGGUUGGUCCGAACCUUCCAGGAUAAUUGUGCUGGAUCAGAGCGACUUGUCAGACUGAUUAGAACUGGACCAUGCUCGAAUUGUGGCUGUGGCCUCCUUUCUUCUCUUAUCCACUUCAAUUGCCUCAAGGACAGUAGUUCAGUCUGUAACUCACGCUUUGUUCUGCUGCUACUAUGGGCACAAUAAUGUGGCCCUAUCAUGUGUAGCAUGCUUAAUCAUUUGUUUUAAAUCAGGUUUCUGAAAACUUCAAAGUAACCAUAAUGGCAAACAUUUUAAUUGUGUUCAGAAUGGCUUUUGUUUUUAUUGAUGUAAAUUUUUGAAACCAUAACUUUGUUGUAUAAUAAAGUGUUUACUUUCAACACCA